rnacentral:rRNA from 1 species
AAAGAUUAAGCCAUGCAUGUCUAAGUAUAGCACUUUAUACUGUGAAACUGCGAAUGGCUCAUUAAAUCAGUUAUCGUUUAUUUGAUAGUACCUUACUACAUGGAUACCUGUGGUAAUUCUAGAGCUAAUACAUGCUACAAACCCCGACUUCAGGAAGGGGUGUAUUUAUUAGAUAAAAAACCAACGCCCUUCGGGGCUCCUUGGUGAAUCAUAAUAACUUAACGAAUCGCAUGGCCUUGCGCCGGCGAUGGUUCAUUCAAAUUUCUGCCCUAUCAACUUUCGAUGGUAGGAUAGUGGCCUACCAUGGUGG